UACGGGGGGGUGCGAGCGUUGUCCGGAAUCACUGGGCGUAAAGGGCGCGUAGGUGGUUUGAUAAGGGUGUGGUGAAAGUCCGGGGCUCAACCCCGGAUCUGCCGUGCCGACUGUCAAACUCGAGGGCUGUAGAGGCAGACGGAAUUCCGGGUGGAGUGGUGAAAUGCGUAGAGAUCCGGAAGAACACCAGUGGCGAAGGCGGUCUGCUGGGCAGUGGACUCGAGAGAGUCCUUCAACCGACACCUGAGGCGCGACAGCGUGGGGGAGCAAACAGG
rnacentral:rRNA from 1 species